rnacentral:rRNA from 1 species
UAAACCGUGGCUCAGUUCAGAUCGUAGGCUGCAACUCGCCUACGUGAAGGAGGAAUCGCUAGUAAUCGCAGGUCAGCAUACUGCGGUGAAUACGUUCCCGGGCCUUGUACACACCGCCCGUCACACCAUGGAAGUUGGCCACGCCCGAAGCCGUUACUCCAACCCUCGGGAGGAGGACGUCGAAGGUGGGGCUGAUGACUGGGGUGAAGUCGUAACAAGGUAUCCGUACCGGAAGGUGCGGAUGGAUCACCUCCUAACA